GAGGGUAUAGCUCAAGUGGUAGAGCGCAUGCUUAGCAUGUAUGAGGUCCUGGGUUCAAUCCCCAGUACCUCCU
rfam:Camelus ferus unplaced genomic scaffold scaffold597, whole genome shotgun sequence.